rnacentral:misc_RNA from 1 species
GCAAACUCAACUGGGCAUAUCAAAAUUUUGGAAAUGGUUUAGAGGGGCAAUGCUUUAAAUAAGGGUAACUGUUUGCAGAAAAAUUGAGGCAGAGAAAUAUGUUGUAUACCCAAAAAGCUUGUGCAGCUAUAGCUUUUUACAAAGGUUAGAUCUUAAUAUUAAGCAACAAUAAUUUGGCACUAUAUCAGAGUGGGUGGGGGCUUUUGUUUGGAAGAGAU